GUGUGUCUCUAUGAGUGGCACUUCGUUAGCUGGUGGACUGACUAACGAACUGCUACCUAAUGAGACACACCAACUAACGAAGUGCCACUCAUAGAGACACACU
rnacentral:pre_miRNA from 1 species